UACGGGGGGGAGCAAGCGUUGUUCGGAUUUACUGGGCGUAAAGGGCGCGUAGGCGGUCAGUGCAAGUCAGUUGUGAAAUCUCCGGGCUUAACUCGGAAAGGUCAACUGAUACUGCUCGACUAGAGUGCGGAAGGGGCAACUGGAAUUCUUGGUGUAGCGGUGAAAUGCGUAGAUAUCAAGAGGAACACCGGUGGCGAAGGCGGGUCUCUGGGCCGAUACUGACGCUGAGGAGCGAAAGCGUGGGGAGCGAACAGG
rnacentral:rRNA from 1 species